GACAGAGGAUGCAAACGUUGCUCGGAAUCAUUGGGCGUAAAGAGCGUGUAGGCGGCCAGAAAAGUCCGCUGUGAAAACUCGAGGCUCAACUUCGAGCUGUCGGUGGAAACUUUCUGGCUAGAGUCCGGAAGAGGAGAAUGGAAUUCCUGGUGUAGCGGUGAAAUGCGCAGAUAUCAGGAAGAACACCCGUGGCGAAGGCGGUUCUCUGGGACGGUACUGACGCUGAGACGCGAAAGCGUGGGGAGCGAACAGG
rnacentral:rRNA from 1 species